CUGCCUCCUUGGAAGUAUUGGGAGUGAGUUCUGCCCUUUGGAAUGGGGUCUGUCAGCAGAAGGAGCAGCAACUGCACCUGGAGAUUGCUUCCUUUAGAGCGUGGGGUGAACCCUUGAAACUGGGACUGUGACCUUUCCUGUUUUUGGGGCAUCCUGACCACAUUGAAGUGCUGGCAGAUGUAAGGGCAGCAUUGAUCUCUGGAGACUGUCUCCUGUGGAGCAGGGGGACUUCACCUGACUGCCUCGACUUCUCAAAUACCACUGAGAGUGGCUCGGUGACUGCAGCGGUGAAUUCCCUCAGGGCUCUGGGACUCGUCUCAUCAGGACCCAAAGACUCCUGGAUGUCAGGUUCUCAGGUGGCUGCGGAGUUGCAGUGCUCCCGAGUGCCGUAACGACUGCAUGGAGAUGCGUGGCUCUUCAUGGGAACAGCAAGGAACCGGAAUCUGCAUUUCCUGGAAUGCCCCAGAGCCUCGCUUUGCUGGCUGGUAAUUGUCUGCCCAGCAGGUGGCAGCAGAGCUGCGUUGCUCCUGAGCACUUUAAGGACAGCACGGAGAUGCGCGGCUCUUCAUGGCAGCAGCAGAAACUGGAAUCUGCAUUUCCUGGAAUGCCCCGGAACCUCGCUUUGCUGGCCGGUAAUUGUCUGCCCAGCAGGUGAAGAUGCCUUCGAUGCUUCCAGUUGAUGGCUUCCCCCCUGCGAUGCCAUCGUCUUUCCAGUCCUCCCGCACUCACCGCCUGCUCGGUUCAGUCCAGCCGUUACCUGAAUCCCUGCUCCGUUCCCUUUCCUGAGUGCUUUAAGGACAGCAUGGAGAUGUGCGGCUCUUGAUGACAGCAGCAGGAACCGGAAUCUGCAUUUCCUGGAACGCCCUGGAACCCCGCUUUGCUGCCUGGUAAUUGUCUGCCCAGCAGGUGAAGAUGCCUUCGAUGCUUCCAGUUGAUGACUUCCCCCCUGCGAUGCCAUUGGCUUUCCUGGCCUCCCACAGUCACCGCCAGCUCAGUUCAGUUGAGCUGUUACCCGAAU